GGACUACUAGGGUAUCUAAUCCCGUUUGCUCCCCUAGCUUUCGCCGUUCAGCGUCAAUGUCGGUCCAGGAUGCCGCCUUCGCCACCGGUAUUCCUCCAGAUAUCUACGCAUUUCACCGCUACACCUGGAAUUCUGCAUCCCUCUCCCGAAUUCAAGCCAAUCAGUUCGCACGGCCGACCCGGGGUUGAGCCCCGGGCUUUCACCGCACGCUUACCAAGCCGCCUACGCGCCCUUUACGCCCAGUGAUUCCGGACAACGCUCGCACCCUCUGUAUUACCGCGGCGGCUGGCAC
rnacentral:rRNA from 1 species